AGGGAUAGAUCAUUUUGGGGAUGAUCUAUGUUGAAAGAGGAUCCUGUGAGUUGUUGACUCAUGUCUUGGAUUUAAAAGAAGAAAAUGUGAAGGAAUGAUAUAGUUCUGAUUGAGGUUCGAUUGAGGAUGUUGGGGAUCUUUUGAGGAUUCGGAUUCGGGACGAGCACUUCGACAUAGAGGUUGAUUAGCUCGAUCUAUUGGAGG